UCCGGCUUAUCACCGGCAGUCCCACUAGAGUGCCCAACUGAAGGGAUCGAUCUCUCGUUCCCGCGACCGGGAUGUCAAAGGCUGGUAAGGCUCUUCGCGUUGCUUCGAAUUGAACCACAUGCUCCACCGCUUGUGCGGGCCCCCGUCAAUUCCUUUGAGUUUUAAUCUUGCGACCGUACUCCUCAGGCGGGAUGCUUAAUGCGUUAGCUGCGCCACUGAAGAGCAAGCUCCCCAACGGCUAGCAUCCAUCGUUUACAGCGUGGACUAC
rnacentral:misc_RNA from 1 species